GGUUCUGGUUUCUCUCCUUAGAGCUGGGCUCUGCGGAUGCUGAGGGACUCUGGGCUGUGCUGGGCUCAGCCCUGGGCACAGGGCUCUGCCCUCACUGGGCUCUGACAGCUUUGCAUCAGACGAGCCCGUUCCGAGCACACCGCCUGAGCUUUCUGCUUUUGCAGAAGUGCCACGAGUGGACAAAACCUGGCGAGCGGGCUGUGUUCCUAAGGCAGUGCAGCCUGGAGCUGAUGGGUGGAGAAUUGCCCUUCUGCACUUCCAAACCAGAGCAAAAGCU